rnacentral:lncRNA from 1 species
UUAAAUAAAAUAGGCAACCAGGCACAAGGUUGCCUCGCACCUUGUGCCUGCCCCCCUAAUAAAACUAACAAUUACAAUAAGUUGCCUUGCACUUUGUGCUUGGCCCCCCUAACUAGCCUUCAAGUGCAAAGCGAAGCUCAGGCCACCUAAGCUCUGUCCAGUAAUCAAGCCUAUUGUUCUCACCUGGUGACCUCAUUAGAUCAGUUACAGUACUUACAGUGUUUUUCCAUUCCAUUUACUUGCAGAUUGAAGAUGGCUAGUUGUGCACGUACACCCGGAGUCGGCCAGGAAAUGAUCGUCAUUCAGGGCUACCUCCAUAACGUGUUCCCAGUGACGAUUUCAGAUAAAAAAAAUAUUUUUUUCAAUUGCACCUUGCAGACGUCCCGAGACAUAUAUAGAACAGCCGUCGUGUUUUCAGCAGACAAGCAUGAAAGCUUUCAGCAGGCCGCUGACAACCACACGCCCUUGAAGCUAAGCAAUGUCAAGAGAAGUACGAGUAAUGGAGGAGCUUUCUACGUUAUAAAUUUUCAGUCCAAGCUGAGGCUGUUGAAUUCCAUUGACUUUGACUAUAAUAAGGAACCCACAUUUACUGUAAAGCAGGUGUUUGCCCUCAAACCUAAACAGAAAGUUGGAAAGAUCGAGGCGAAGGUUGUGUGGCUGGAGAACUCCAGUAAAAUGGUCAAGGUCCAUGGCAAAAUGCUGCAGCUCAAGGAUUGCCAUGUUGCUGACCACACGAGCAAGAUUAAGCUGCAACUCUGGGGUGGACUUAUUGGCCAAGUGAAGCAGGACGAGUCCUACGUCUUGAAGGACCUGUCGGUCCGUGGAAAUGGAGAGUUGUAUCUGACGUCUACAAAGAACACCACCAUCCGGAUCUCAGGAGGAGAAGCAGGAGAGGAGCAGGUGGUGAAGCAGGAGGAGGAGGAGGAGCAGGUGCUGAAGCAGGAGGAGGAGGAGGAGGAAAAGGAGGAGGAGGUGCUGAAGGAGCUGAAGCAGGAGGAGGAGGAGGAGCAGGAGGUGAAGCAGGUGCUGAAGCCGGAGGAGGAGGAGGAGCAGGACUUGGUGCAGGAGUUGAAGCAGGAGAUGAUCACCACGGUGCGGGGACCAGUCUGUGGCAUCCAACUAGCUGCCCAACGGCAGUGCAGCCAUUGCCACAAAGGGCAGCUGGCCUUCAACCUAACGGACAUAAACCAUCGCUGCGAGGCCUGUGGCUUCUAUCAGAAGGUCGGGUCAUAUGUAAAGGCUGCCACCGGGAAAGUCAUGGUCAAUAAGGGGGAUGUGAAACUCUCGUUGAAAUUGACCUCGACUGUCCUGAUGACAUACCUGAGUCAAAACAACCUCCAGGAGCUGCUUGCAGAUGUGCAGUUGGUGGAGGGGCACUUUUUGGAAGUGGGGUUGUUUGUUAUCCAAUACAAUGCCAACAAUGAGGUUGUCGUUGUCACAACAGGGGAUGUUUGA